rnacentral:misc_RNA from 1 species
GAUGAAGAACGUAGCGAAAUGCGAUAAGUAGUGUGAAUUGCAGAAUUCAGUGAAUCAUCGAAUCUUUGAACGCACAUUGCGCCCUUUGGUAUUCCUUAGGGCAUGCCUGUUCGAGCGUCAUUUAAACCUUCAAGCUAAGCUUGGUGUUGGGUGACUGUCCGCCUCACGGCGGACUCGCCUCAAAAUUAUUGGCGGCCGGUACAUUGGCCUCGAGCGCAGCAGAAACGCGAACUCGGGCCCGUCGUAUUGGCUCCCAGAAGCUAUCUUCACAAUUUUGACCUCGGAUCAGGUAGGGAUACCCGCUGAACUUAAGCAUAUCAAUAAGCGGAGGA